CGUGCAGGCGGUUUGUUUAGUCUAGGGUGAAAGCUCCCGGCUCAACUGGGAGAGGUCCUUGGAUACUGGCAGACUUGAGGGAGGCAGAGGAAAGUGGAAUUCCCGGUGUAGUGGUGAUAUGCGUAGAUAUCGGGAGGAACACCAGUGGCGAAGGCGGCUUUCUGGGCCUUACCUGACGCUGAGACGCGAAAGCGUGGGGAGCGAACCGGAUUAGAUACCCGGGUAGUCCACGCCGUAAACUAUGGACACUAGGUGUGGGGGGUAUCGACCCCCUCCGUGCCGCAGCUAACGCAAUAAGUGUCCCGCCUGGGGAGUACGGCCGCAAGGCUAAA
rnacentral:rRNA from 1 species